AGCAAUCACUGGUGGCGAGUGGCGAACGGGUGAGUAAUACAUCGGAACGUGCCCAAUCGUGGGGGAUAACGCAGCGAAAGCUGUGCUAAUACCGCAUACGAUCUACGGAUGAAAGCAGGGGACCGCAAGGCCUUGUGCGAAUGGAGCGGCCGAUGGCAGAUUAGGUAGUUGGUGAGGUAAAGGCUCACCAAGCCUUCGAUCUGUAGCUGGUCUGAGAGGACGACCAGCCACACUGGGACUGAGACACGGCCCAGACUCCUACGGGAGGCAGCAGUGGGGAAUUUUGGACAAUGGGCGCAAGCCUGAUCCAGCCAUGCCGCGUGCAGGAUGAAGGCCUUCGGGUUGUAAACUGCUUUUGUACGGAACGAAACGGCUCUUUCUAAUAAAGAGGGCUAAUGACGGUACCGUAAGAAUAAGCACCGGCUAACUACGUGCCAGCAGCCGCGGUAAUACGUAGGGUGCAAGCGUUAAUCGGAAUUACUGGGCGUAAAGCGUGCGCAGGCGGUGAUGUAA
rnacentral:rRNA from 2 species